GCGUGUCCAAUGCUAAUUAAAGUUUAAUCACGAUGUGACAGCAGCAGGCGGACGAGAGGACGAGGGCUGCGCAGUGGGCACCUGGCUCUGCUCCCCUCUGCUGCACACACGGAGGGUGGCAGUGGGGGAGCGAGGGGCUGAGCACAGCGAGCAUGCAGUGCACACUGCGCACACCUGAGCAGGCAAUGCACGCUGCACACGCUGAGCACACAGCACCCCAAACUGCUCUGGGUGAGAUCUCCAGCAGGAUUUCAGAUCUAGACAAAUGGAGGAAAAUCUUCAGCUUCUGUGGCCGGGAAGGCAGUCAGACCGCCCCCCAGGUGGGUGUUUCUGCCCCGGGUUGCGCUGUGCUCCCAUCCGCAGACACUGCAGUCCCCCGCGGUGCCCACACGGAGCUGCUCACACUCCUCGGAACACGUCUGUGUGCGUCGUGUUUUCUCAAGAGUCGUUUUCCCGAUCUGAACCAAAGCAGCAGAGCAGAACAUAAAUUAACCUUACUGCUCUGCUUAACAGCUUGUGUGGCCAAUUUAAGAACACAGGGAAAAAAAGCUAUGAAAUGAAGGCCCACACGAUGUGUUUGGACGCUGCCCCGCGCUCAGGCUGACAAGCACAGAUGUGUCCGGGAGUCCAAAUAUUCUUUCACACCGUCAUCAUUCCCUUCUGUGGGAGUUGUUUUUAACAGCGGGAGCCAGUUGGAAGUGAGAUGCACAAACGUGUAUGUACCCAACACGGAUGUGCCCCAUCUGCAGCGCAACCACUCAGGACUGUAACAGACAUUUGGGAGUGAAUGCCACACACCUCUUAGAGCAACCAUUUGUAACCAAAACCUGAGUUUGCCCUGUUUGAAGCAGAAAUAUCUGCAGUCGCUGUUGGUUUGUUAGCACUCCAAAACACUCUGCAGAAGAGUUCAGCUGCUCAGCUUCGUGCCCAAAGGUGGCAGCGGGUGGUGAAGGGCAGUGAGGGCCGAGCGUGGCGCAGGGAGGGCAGGGAGCGAGCGGGAGCUGGGAGGAGGGAUCCUGGAGCAGGGAGCCCCCAGCGGCGGCUCUGUCUCCCCACAGGGACCCGCGGGCUGUGGGCAUGGAGCAGUGGGCACCAGAGGAGCCGCGGAGCCACGUGUGCCACCUGCAGAGCCACAGCAGGCGGGGCGGCCCAUCCCCAUGGACAUGGCAACGGUGAGCAGCAUGGGCAGCACGGAACCUGACCCGGAGCUGGCAGUGUGUGAGGGCUGCAGGCUGCUGCUGUUGCUUACAGAGUUACCAUCAUUCCUUGUGUAUGAGACUCCCACGGGGCACGGCCGUAACACAUUCUCGUAACUCUGGUUGCUGCCAGGCAUGCCCCGGCUUUCCAGUGCUUUCCUAGGGACGAGCUGUGAGGGGCAGGAUGCCCAGCAGCAGGAGAGCACUUCUCUGCUGCCGAAUACGAAAUGGCUGUGAGACCGUCAGUGCUUGGUGCCUGGGCCCCAGAACCUGACCGGCGUUCUGCAAGCGAUGGCAGAGUCCCAGCACCAACCUCGUGUCUGUGACCUCUGACACAACCCCACCACUGCGGCACAAACAUAAUGAAAAGCUCAGGGUGUGAAACUGGAGGUGAAACCUGGCAGGAGCUGUGGUGCAGACCACAGCCAGGGAAGUCCCAUCCCAUAGAGAGGUAAACACAGCCCUCGCUCAGGGUCAGA
rnacentral:lncRNA from 1 species